rnacentral:rRNA from 1 species
GACGAACGCUGGCGGCGUGCUUAACACAUGCAAGUCGAGCGGUAAGGCCCUUUCGGGGGUACACGAGCGGCGAACGGGUGAGUAACACGUGGGUGACCUGCCCUCAGCUCUGGGAUAAGCCUGGGAAACCGGGUCUAAUACCGGAUAUGACUCCAUGACGCAUGUUGUGGGGUGGAAAGCCUUGUGCGGCUGAGGAUGGGCCCGCGGCCUAUCAGCUUGUUGGUGGGGGGA